rnacentral:rRNA from 1 species
AGCGAACGCUGGCGGCAGGCCUAACACAUGCAAGUCGAACGAACCUUUCGGGGUUAGUGGCGGACGGGUGAGUAACACGUGGGAACGUGCCUUUAGGUUCGGAAUAACUCAGGGAAACUUGUGCUAAUACCGAAUGUGCCCUUCGGGGGAAAGAUUUAUCGCCUUUAGAGCGGCCCGCGUCUGAUUAGCUAGUUGGUUGAGGUAAUGGCUCACCAAGGCGACGAUCAGUAGCUGGUCUGAGAGGAUGAUCAGCCACAUUGGGACUGAGACACGGCCCAAACUACUACGGGAGGGAGGAGUGGGGAAUCUUGCGCAAUGGGCGAAAGCCUGACGCAGCCAUGCCGGGUGAAUGAUGAAGGUCUUAGGAUUGUAAAAUUCUUUCACCGGGGACGAUAAUGACGGUACCCGAAGAAGAAGCCCCGGCUAACUUCGUG